UUUCGCAAUGCCCGAAAGGGUGACGAAGCGACGCCGCGUGUGGGAAGAAGGCCUUCGGGUUGUAAACCACUGUCGGGAGUUAGGAAGUGCAAGAGUGUGAAUAGCGCUUUUGCUUGACUAAGGCUCCGGAGGAAGCCACGGCUAACUCUGUGCCAGCAGCCGCGGUAAUACAGAGGCGGCAAGCGUUGUUCGGAAUUACUGGGCGUAAAGAGCACGUAGGCGGCCUUGUAAGUCAGUUGUGAAAGCCUUCCGCUUAACGGAAGAACUGCUGCUGAGACUGCAAGGCUUGAAUGCGGGAGGGGAGAGUGGAACUUCUGGUGGAGCGGUGAAAUGCGUAGAUAUCAGAAGGAACGCCGGCGGCGAAAGCGACUCUCUGGCCCGUGAUUGACGCUGAGUGUGCGAAAGCUAGGGGAGCAAACGGGAUUAGAUACCCCGGUAGUCCUAGCCGUAAACGAUGGGCACUAAGUAGAGGGGUUUU
rnacentral:rRNA from 1 species